AUCGCUUCUCGGCCUUUUGGCUAAGAUCAAGUGUAGAGUCUGUUCUUAUCAGCUUAAUAUCUGAUAUGGACCUAAUUGGUUCAAGAUAUUAAACUUAUUUUUGUAAGUGGCGUUCCUACGAAGCUUGCUUCGAGGGCGCUAGGGUCGACCCGGUAUUGCACUACCUCCGGGAGUGGCCCGUCCCCC
rnacentral:snRNA from 2 species